rnacentral:rRNA from 1 species
AAUGAACGCUGGCGGCGCGCCUAAUACAUGCAAGUCGAGCGAGAAGACGUAGCAAUACGUUUGUAAAGCGGCGAACGGGUGAGGAAUACAUGGGUAACCUACCCUAGAGUGGGGAAUAACUAGCCGAAAGGUUAGCUAAUACCGCGUACGCUCCUUGGACUUCGGUUCAGGGAGGAAAGCGAUGCCGAGGGUAUCGCGCUCUUGGAUGGGCUCAUGUCCUAUCAGCUUGUUGGGAGGUAACGGCUCACCAAGGCUUCGACGGGUAGCUGGUCUGAGAGGACGAUCAGCCACACUGGCACUGCGACACGGGCCAGACUCCUACGGGAGGCAGCAGUAAGGAAUAUUGCGCAAUGGGCGAAAGCCUGACGCAGCGACGCCGCGUGGGGGAGUGAA